AUUGAACGCUGGCGGCAUGCUUUACACAUGCAAGUCGAACGGCAGCGGGGGCUUCGGCCUGCCGGCGAGUGGCGAACGGGUGAGUAAUGCAUCGGAACGUGCCCAUGUCGUGGGGGAUAACGUAGCGAAAGUUACGCUAAUACCGCAUAUUCUGUGAGCAGGAAAGCAGGGGAUCGCAAGACCUUGCGCUGAUUGAGCGGCCGAUAUCAGAUUAGCUAGUUGGUGAGGUAAAGGCUCACCAAGGCGACGAUCUGUAGCGGGUCUGAGAGGAUGAUCCGCCACACUGGAACUGAGACACGGUCCAGACUCCUACGGGAGGCAGCAGUGGGGAAUUUUGGACAAUGGGCGCAAGCCUGAUCCAGCCAUGCCGCGUGAGUGAAGAAGGCCUCGGUUGUAAG
rnacentral:rRNA from 1 species